UUAGAGUUUGAUCAUGGCUCAGGACGAACGCUGGCGGCGUGCCUAAUACAUGCAAGUCGAACGCGUCCCGGUUGAUGAGGUUGAGUGCUUGCACUUGAUUGAUUCAACUUGGUGACGAGUGGCGAACUGGUGAGUAACACGUGGGUAACCUGCCCCGAAGCGGGGGAUAACAUUUGGAAACAGGUGCUAAUACCGCAUAACAACCAAAACCUCCUGGUUUUGGUUUAAAAGACGGCUUCGGCUGUCACUUUGGGAUGGACCCGCGGCGUAUUAGCUAGUUGGUGAGGUAACGGCUCACCAAGGCGAUGAUACGUAGCCGACCUGAGAGGGUAAUCGGCCACAUUGGGACUGAGACACGGCCCAAACUCCUACGGGAGGCAGCAGUAGGGAAUCUUCCACAAUGGACGCAAGUCUGAUGGAGCAACGCCGCGUGAGUGAUGAAGGGUUUCGGCUCGUAAAACUCUGUUGUUGGAGAAGAACGGGUGUCAGAGUAACUGUUGACAUCGUGACGGUAUCCAACCAGAAAGCCACGGCUAACUACGUGCCAGCAGCCGCGGUAAUACGUAGGUGGCAAGCGUUGUCCGGAUUUAUUGGGCGUAAAGCGAGCGCAGGCGGUUUUUUAGGUCUGAUGUGAAAGCCUUCGGCUUAACCGGAGAAGUGCAUCGGAAACCGGGAGACUUGAGUGCGGAAGAGGACAGUGGAACUCCAUGUGUAGCGGUGAAAUGCGUAGAUAUAUGGAAGAACACCAGUGGCGAAGGCGGCUGUCUGGUCUGCAACUGACGCUGAGGCUCGAAAGCAUGGGUAGCGAACAGGAUUAGAUACCCUGGUAGUCCAUGCCGUAAACGAUGAGUGCUAAGUGUUGGAAGGUUUCCGCCCUUCAGUGCUGCAGCUAACGCAUUAAGCACUCCGCCUGGGGAGUACGACCGCAAGGUUGAAACUCAAAGGAAUUGACGGGGGCCCGCACAAGCGGUGGAACAUGUGGUUUAAUUCGAUGCUACGCGAAAAACCUUACCAGGUCUUGACAUCUUCUG
rnacentral:rRNA from 1 species